UACAGCAAUCGCUUCUCGAUGAGUGACGCAAUAAAAAUAUAAAUAAAACCUCUUAUCAAUUGGCAAACUCAUUCAAUGUUUUAUUAAGGCACGCACUUUCAGUUAGUGACAGGGCUAGAUGCUCCCGAUUUGAUAGAUACAAAUAAGUUGCCCUGUGAUGAUACGUGCAUAAAGUAUCGCUUCUAAGUGCAAUUCAAGUGAAAUCAUCAUCGAUCAUCAAUAGCGCAGCGACUACCGACAAACGCUGUUGUACAGAGAAUGAGAGUGUUAUAGGAAAGCCACUUCAUGAAUGCUUUGCACACGUUUGAUUCGGCGUAUAGACUAUUCGUGUCAAAACAUUGAAAUCAGUUGUCCAUUCUCGGGGUGCUAGUGAAUGCCACAGCUCGGCACAAUUUAUGUUUUCGCACGCCGUCUAGGAAGAAGGUCAUUGCCGUUCAGCUGGGGCAGUAAAUUUGGCCGGGAAUGCAAUAAAAUUGCUCGUACAUUCUCCAUAGAUCAGUUUUCGGUGGCUGUCAAAUUUGUUUUGCCAGGUACCGUAACGGAGAGAAAUCGAACAUGGACUAACAUUUGUAGUGCUCCCUGGUUGAGGCCGGCUAGCACCAACUCCGUCAAAGUAACGCGUCAAUUUUGUAUUGGACAUAAACGCCUUAAUCUAGGUAGUUUGCUUGUUUUAAAGCUACUUAUCAAAGAAUGCAUUGGUGGCGCAUCAGGAAAGUCAGGUAGUGGUCCGCAGCUUCCGCAUUUGCUACGCUAUUUCAGAUCAGUUCGUCAAAUCCACUCAACGAAGAUGGAUCCGGCCAAGUUUGGGCUAACCGAGGAAGACGUCGAGUUGAUCGUGAAACGUUAUCUGCUUGAGAAGCGCGAAAAGUAUAAUGCGAAAUUCCGAGUCCUAUCGUACCACAUCAAGCGGCUUAGUGAAGAACCGAUUGGCUACCUCGGGGAUCACUAUUUUCUGAAUGUUGUGCUUCGCGAAAAAAUGGUUCACUAUUCGGCCGAGGAAGAAGAAUACGCCGAAGAAGAGUACUUAAGUUUCUUUAUGAAAAUUUUGCCCGAACAGGUUCCUAAGCUGGCAGAUUACGUUCGUGAGAUGGGAUGUUUCAAGAAAGAAUCCCAACUUUACACCCAUUUGAUACCGAGAUUGCAAGAUGUAUCGAUUGGAACCAAACCGUUCGCUCCACGUGCUUAUUUAACCAAGGACGAUAAACUGUUGGUUUUUGAGAACCUGAAAGCCGAAGGUUACCGCAUGGUUCAGAACAACAAGAGUCUCUUGGACUAUGCCCAUCUCAAAGUGGCACUCAAAACCGUGGCCAAACUGCAUGCUGCCUCGUUAGUCCUUGAAGAAAGAACCAAACAACCGAUUACGCAACUUUACUCGGGUCAUCUGAACGAAAACGUCUACAUAGAUGACGAUAGAUACGUUCGCAAAACAAACUUGGACAAUGCUAUCAAAGCUCUGUGUGAACUGAUCAAGCGUAUUGAAAAAUAUAAAACCUCCGAUCGUUUAGACUUUAUCCUGGAAAAGUUUCCCCAAGUGAUAAGAAAGAUUUAUGAAUUCGCAAAACCUUCUACCGUAUACCGAAACGUCUUCAAUCAUGGGGAUCUGUGGAACAAUAAUCUUAUGUUUAAAUACGAAGAACUCAACUCUUCGCGCACAAGCAGUGAUGCAGGUAUCGUACAAGAAGCUAGUGCUAGCGCUCUGCAACAAAACGGUGGUCGAAGGCGACGCAAAAGGUCUUCCAUUCACCGGCCGAAUCCUUUCAACUAUCCCGACAUCGAGCUACGGUCCGGAACCAUUCCAUCCAACUGUUUGAUGAUUGAUUUCCAAAUUGCACGUUAUUCGCCGCCGGCCUAUGAUGUGAUGUCCGUGUUGAAUACAACCACGACCCGGUCCUUCCGGGCUAUUCACAUGGACCGGUUGGUCGAGGUGUAUUAUGAAUAUUUGGCACAGCAGCUGGAAUGGUUCCAGAUCGACCUGAAAGAUGUAUUGUCGGCCGAAGACUAUCGAAUGUCAUGUGAGGAAUACAAGCUGGCCGGUUUAAUUGAUAGCGUACUGUUUCGGAUGCUAACGUUGCUGCCAAAGCGGCUGGUGUCGGACUGUGAUGAAUGUCCGGUUCCGAUAUCGUUUGAAAAUUUAACGGAAAAUUCCAUCUUUGAAAUGUGCACCGAAGCGUGGGAUUCCUGUGACAUGUAUCGCUAUGUGAUGGACGAUUUGCUGGAAGAUCUCAUAGAUACGUACAUUCUUUAGGGAGCCAAAUGAAAAAUUAACGAUUAGGGUCCAGUCAAUAGGAUAGCUUUUUAGUUUAUUGAUAAAUUUAUUUAUAUUAAUUAAGGACUGUCAUCGCCGCUAGACGGUAUUCUAUUGGAUUAUCAACUUUCGCGCUAUGCUCCGCCAGCACUGGAUGUCCUAACUGUUAUCACGAUUGCAACGGUCAGCGAUUUCCGUGCCCGAUAUCUCGACGAUCUGCU